UUAGCGGCGGACGGGUGAGUAAUGCUUAGGAAUCUGCCUAUUAGUGGGGGACAACAUUUCGAAAGGAAUGCUAAUACCGCAUACGUCCUACGGGAGAAAGCAGGGGAUCUUCGGACCUUGCGCUAAUAGAUGAGCCUAAGUCGGAUUAGCUAGUUGGUGGGGUAAAGGCCUACCAAGGCGACGAUCUGUAGCGGGUCUGAGAGGAUGAUCCGCCACACUGGGACUGAGACACGGCCCAGACUCCUACGGGAGGCAGCAGUGGGGAAUAUUGGACAAUGGGCGGAAGCCUGAUCCAGCCAUGCCGCGUGUGUGAAGAAGGCCUUAUGGUUGUAAAGCACUUUAAGCGAGGAGGAGGCUACUUUAGUUAAUACCUAGAGAUAGUGGACGUUACUCGCAGAAUAAGCACCGGCUAACUCUGUGCCAGCAGCCGCGGUAAUACAGAGGGUGCAAGCGUUAAUCGGAUUUACUGGGCGUAAAGCGCGCGUAGGCGGCUAAUUAAGUCAAAUGUGAAAUCCCCGAGCUUAACUUGGGAAUUGCAUUCGAUACUGGUUAGCUAGAGUGUGGGA
rnacentral:rRNA from 1 species